rnacentral:tRNA from 1 species
UGAUUCCGUAGCUCAGCUGGGAGAGCGCUACCUUGACAGGGUAGAGGUCGCUGGUUCGAGCCCAGUCGGAAUCAUCGU